AAGUCGUAACAAGGUUUCCGUAGGUGAACCUGCGGAAGGAUCAUUACCGAGAGUUGUAGGCUUCUGUCUACCAUCUCUUACCCAUGUCUUUUGCGUACUACACGUUUCCUCGGCAGGUCCGCCUGCUCUAGGACAAUUUUAAACCCAUUUGCAGUUGCAGUCAGCGUCUGAAAAAACUUAAUAAUUACAA
rnacentral:misc_RNA from 1 species